AUCUAUUUAUCUCUCUCUCUCUCUCUCUCUCUCUCCUUCUCUCUCUCUCUAUAUAUAUACUUAUGCUUGUUUGCUCAUAUAAAUAAGGCUUUCACAUACUAAAAUGCAAAAGUACAUAAUACCUAAUGCUUCAGAAGGGUUUGUAAAACAUAUAUGUUGGUUUAGUUAUAAGUGCACAGAAUUAUAAUUCUGUUUCAACCCCUGAGGGUCUUUUGCAAAUUAAAAUAUUGAAGUAUGUAUUAGGACUGAAAAGGUAAGAGAGAAUAUAAUGAAGGCAGGAAGAAGAAAGAAAGAAAGAAAGAAAGAAAGAAAGGUGUUUUGAUGAUUCAAGUGGUGACGUGGUGGAGGAAAGCUUUCCAGCAAGAGAAUCUGCAAAAUUUGUUGGAGGAUAUAGGAAAAUUGCAAAGACUUGAAUAUUGGCUUUAAAUAGAGUUUGAAAUUACGUCUUCUCAAAUGAAAAAGUGGUCUAUAUAAAGUGUGCAUUAAGGGCUGACCAUGGUCGUGUGAAUUGAAACUAAUAUACUGAUAAAAAUAUGGGUUGUCAGAGAAAUAGACAAAGGUCUUAAUAUGUAUAGAGAAUUGUUGUACUCGUAGUUAUAAUUGUACCAAGUUAAUAAUAGGUUUUCUUUAGAAUAUUGAGGAAAGUAAAAUUUAGAAUGUUCUAGAAAUUGAAUGCAGUAGAACUAGAGAAUGAGGAAAGGAGUGGUGGGGGAAAAAAUAUUUUGAGUUACACAAAUUAUGAGGUCUAUAAAUGAAUGUACAUUCACAUAUAUAUAGAUAUGAAUUAUGUCUGUUUAAAAUGUAUAUUCAUCUGAAUAUAUAUUCAUACAUGUAUCUACACAUUUUUCAAAUAGACAUUUAUACGUAAUUAUAUGUACAAAGCCAUGUAGUUAUACUCAUACACACACACACAUAUAUGUACACACACACACACAUUGAUAGAUUGAUAGAUAGAUAGAUAGAUAGAUAGAUAGAUAGAUAGAUAGAUAGAUAGAUAGAUAGAUAGAUAGAUAGAUAGAUAGAUAGAUGGGUAUAGAUUUAUGAAUUUGUGUGAAUUUUUGUUGCUGCAUGGUUCCUGAUGUAAAAUAUUGUUAUAUUCGGGAUGGUCAUUUUCCCCUUUUUUGUCAAAUAAACACUUGCAUUAUA